UCGUUUAAAUGCCAUUGUUACCAUGAAAAAAAUCAUUAUAACUUUAGGAAUGUAUAACAACUAAUUAUGAAACAUAUUUUGUGCUAGAAAUUUUACAGUUUUUAAACUAUGACUUUAAUGGUCUUAUAUGUCAUAAGAGAAUAACAGUAGCAUUGAUAAAAGCUGUUUGGAGUUUUCCCAUGCAGUAUUCAAGGAGGAAACUUGUACCUGGGACUGGAACUUAAGGUAACAGUUAUCUUCCUGGGUAGGAAGGCAAAAGAAAAAUUUCAUUCUAGAUAAUACUGUAAAUGUCCAUGUGGGUAAUCUUGACAAUCCUGACUCCUUUCUUACUCCAAACUUGGAUCUUUGGCAAAGUAUAGGCAUCAAAGGGUAUGCUGUCUUUGGGAAAGGGAAACUUCUUCAAAUUUCUCUAUUGUUUUUAGCUUUUCUGCUAUGAAGGUGGACUUUGAAGUAGUCCCUCCUUUUCUGAUACACACAAAUGAAGGUGAUACUAAGUCUGCUUUAAAUUACAGAUGGACAUGGCCAAAUUAAAGUAGAAGCCAAGUGGGUGAGCUGUGCAAGGUCUUGUAUUUGUGGACCUGUACUCACUAGUGCAGCUUUACCACUUCAGGGCCUCCCAUGCUAUAUUGCAUCUACAAUGCUCUCUGCUGGUGUUUUGAAAGAAAGUUUUCUUCAAGAUAAUGGGAAAUAAUGGAAGGAACUAUCACAAAAAUUAACUGUAGAGCCUGGUGAUGAGUCACUGUUGUAGAACACUUUACCUGCUGGUUUUCCUUGAAUGCCACAGCAGCAACCAAAGUAUCACCAAGAAGCUGUAGAAGUAAUAUGACUACAGAUGUGGUUACUGAGAAAUAUGUCUAAUCGUGAUGUCCAGCCCUGAGAGAUAUUUCUGUUCUAAGGACUGAUUAUUAGAUUUGUAAUCUUCACUUAAUAUACAGUGUAUGUUUGUCGCUAUCUGUUUACACCAGUCACUUCAGUGAGCUCCAAGAUAUCUCCACGCACCUCCCAUGCCUGUAAGGCCUCCUUAUUCCUUGGGACCUCAAGUCUCUCAAGGAUUUGGGUAUGUUGUUUAGACUUGUCAUUUUCACUUAGAAUAUAAUGACUGCUUAUCUGCAUCUGUUUCCAUCAGUCACUACAGUAAGCCUGUAUCAUGAUUAUAAGAAACUAGCCAUCACACACAUGGAACUCUUGUGCCAGUGACAAGAACACCAACUCUGUCACAAUGUGUCAAGCCUCAACUGCUCUACAAGACCUCUUCAACUCUUCACUUCACUAUCUGAGUCCCAUUUAUACAUCAACUUUGGCUGCUAGCAUGAAGUAUAACCUUGAUCUCCACUGGAAAACAGCUUCUGUGUGGGUCUCUCUGUGGUGCUAAUGAUGAUCUCAAAUUCAGGCACUGAGGACUUUUUGCUCUCCAAAGUUCUGAGAAGCUUUUCCUGAAUACAGAGUCACCACAACUAGUUGAAUGCCACAUCAAUAAUGGAAGUAUCAGUAGAAAGCUGCAGAAGCAACAUGGCUACUACUGCAGGUACUGAAUAAUAUGUCUAAUG